CCGGAUUGCGCCCUAGGAACGCGAGCAGAAAAUCCGAUUAGCGUCCUGCAGUCCCUGCUAAAGCAUCUUCCUGCUGGACUCUGCGGCACGUUGGCCGCGGUCCAGAGAGAUGGCGGCGGCUCCGCCCACGCACGGGCACAACCCUGCGGAAGGGGGAUGCAUCACUUUAUUUUUUAAGAGUCAGCAUCAUGCUAUGUUGCCAGGCAGAAUCCGAACUCUUGGGCCAAAGCAGUUCUCCUAAUUCCGCUUUCUGAGCAGCUGGGACAACAGGCGCACAUGCUCAGAUCACAGUCUAUCACGGCGGGAAACCAAAGGAGGAACUCAAGACAGGAACUGAAGCAAAGACCAUGGAGGAACAUGGCUUACUGGCUGGCUAUCUGCUCUGCUCAGCUAGCUACCCUGGAGAACCAGGCUCUCUUGCCCAGGAGUCAUACUGUCCACAUACUGUCCACAGUAGAGUAGGCCCUCAUCCAUCACCCAGCAGUCAAGAAAAUGCCCCGUAGACAGCUAGUCUGACAGAGGUAAUUUCUCAGGGGAGCUUCCGUCUUGCCAAGUGUGUCAUGUUGACAACAAAGAAUAGCCAUUGCAGAGUCAAAGCUUAGAGAUUAACAUGCAGCCAGACAUACUUAAGUGAUGUGACUGUUGGCUUUGAAGAAGGGAGGGGGCCCCGAGUCAAGGAAGACAGGUGACUUCUAAAAGCUGGACAAGGAUCAUCCCGAGCCUCCAGAAAGAAUGAAACUUGGUAGACGUUGACUUUAGGCUCCUAACAUCAUUUUUUUUUUUUGUUUCUUUCUCAUCUUUUAAACUGAAACAAAUUUUUAAAAAAUGUGUGCUGUUUUAAGCAUCCAUUUUUGGUCAUUAGGAAGUGGUACGGGCAGGGCUCCACAGGAGGCUUAGGAAGCAUGACCUUGUUGGAGAAAGGGUGUUAUUAGGGGUGCUCUUUGAGAUUUCAAAAGCCCACAUCAGGCCUAGUGUUGCUCCCCCUAGCUUUGCCUCUCUAGUACCACGCCUGCCUGCUUUAUGCUCCCCGCCAAGGUGAUUAUGGACUAAGCCUCUGAAACUAUAAGCAAGCCCCCGAUUAAAUGCUUUCCCU